AGCAUGUUUAGUGCCUUAUCUGCUCGUCAUGAGUUUAUGAUUCGUUGUCCUUAGCCAUUCAAUGGAAGCUACGAGUAACUUGGUUUCUUCAUCUCCUUACGUUUACGACGAAGACACAUCUCAAAAGCGGCUUCUCUUCUCCUUCCUCUGUACAUGAACAAAUUAAACAGCAACUCCUGUUAUUAUUAACUCACGUCAUUUAGCUUCUCUAUCUCGACAUUUCCCUGCGUCUGUUCUCUCACAAGAGCCACGAGAAGAGUCUACGCCUCUGUCACUUGCAUUAAGAGAAGACAGAACGUCUCAGCUGACUCUGGAGAGGAGGCAGUUUGAUGAAGAUGAGAAAUUUGAACAGCAGUUGCUUCAGUCUGCUGGUUUAUGGAAUUUGUUGACAUCUCCUUUAACAGCUGAAAAGCAGUUGCCAACAGUUAUAUCUCCCUUAGAAGACGCGGAGCCGCCUUGUGAUGCAUGUGGUUGCACUAGCUCGCAAGGCUUUAUCAGCUUCAAAGCAAGCUACUGCAUUGUUAGCUCAAGACUCUGAAGCACUUCCAUAUAGGCUGCUUCUUUAAGCCUUGUUUGUCUAUCUCAUCUUCAGUUUUGCUAUAAACAUUUCUGUUUUAUGGAUGUUGGUUAUAGCUUUUCCAUGUCCUUACCAGAAGAGCGAAUCCAAGAGCCUACUGGAGAGACGAGCAAAGAACAGAAGCGCUCCAAAACCAAACAGCUUGGACAGUGAGGUUUAUGUUCCUCAGAAAACUAAUGCCAAGAAGAAGAUGAAACAAGGGUUUGAUACUGAUGAUGCGCUCCAGCUCUUCUUGUGGGGACCUGAGACAAAACAACUUCUAACUGCUAAUGAGGAAGCUGAACUGAUAACACAUAUACAGCAUUUGAUAAAGCUGGAGAAGGUAAAGCUAAACUAGAAUCUCAAAACGGCUGUGAACCAACGUUAGGAGAAUGGGCUGAAGCUAUGGGACUAAGUGGUCCUCUCUUGAAAUCUGAAAUCCACCGUGGCAGAACCAGCCGGGAAAGGCUGAUCACAUCAAACUUACGUCUGGUAGUCCAUAUAGCUAAACAGUAUCAGAACUGUGGACUCAACUUUCAGGACUUAUUGCUGGUUAGCUUCAAACAAAACACAUUGGUCUUGUCCUCUAAAUAGAGUGAUCUAACUUGUGAGCCAUAUCUGAUGAUGCUUCCUUAUGAAGGAAGCAUGGGGCUAAUGAAGAGUGUAGAGAAGUUCAAACCACAAUCCGGAUGCAGAUUCGCAACUUACGCCUACUGGUGGAUUCGACAAUCCAUAAGAAAGUCUAUUUUUCAAAACUCCAGGACAAUCCGUUUGCCAAUUGCACGGGUACCCACUUGGGUGCCGUCUCGCGUACCGGGUUCGCCAGGGGGAAGGGUACGGCUGGGAAACGUCCCCAACACAUGUGCCGUGAACCCGGGACGGCAUCACUAACCGGGGACGGGUUUGGUCUGAGACCGGAGACGUCUCGGGAAUUUUCAAGACAAAAGAGACGUAUCUAUUUGAUUUUUGGUGUUACGAAGUGUAAACGUUAAACCAUUCCAUAUUUGUUUUAAAUUGUUUCUAUUAAUUCUGAAAGUAUUAAAAGAUGUAAUAAAAGAUGUUGUUUAUCAAUAAU